rnacentral:rRNA from 1 species
UUGAGAUGGGAAAAGAGGCCGCCCCUGUCAGGUCUCCUCCUUCGUUCUUCCCCUCUCUCAAAACGAGCGCCGCCAGAGUUCCAAAAUCCCACCUUCUCAAGCUGAUCUCUCCGCACCCUCUCCCCCCUCCCCAGAUCAGAGCCUCGGCCCGCCCCAGCACGCUCUUCGCCCCCUUCUCUGCCUAUAGGGCUCGAUCCACGGCACAAUCGCCAUCCCACGUCGAUCUCGGUGACCCCGCUGCGCCGCCCGUGGAGAUUGACCGGACUGCCAAGCCCGCGGUGGCAGCACCGUACUCCGCCGAUUCGAUGCCGACCGGUAGCACGGAAGGAAAUGGCGGUGCCGGACGCGCGCGUCGCUGAUGGUCAGGCUGCCGAGGCAAAGGUUGGAGUCGCUCUUGCAGGAACUCUGGCGGACACUUCGGGCUGGGCGACUUCGAUCUCGGCGUAUCACUUCCUGAUGUAGCCACCGACUCCGAGGCGCAUACAGGAACAACAAGGGCUGUGACAACAACGGCGAUGUGGUUCAAUGGUGUGUGACUUAGACUGCGCGACAAACCAGCCUCAUGCCGUAAGCUCAUCAGAUGGUCCUCUCAAGACUUGGAUCGGCAACUUGAUGCAAGUGAUCAACGGAUGUUUGGAAUGUAUACUGCUCAAAUGCUAACAUUGUGUUGCUGUGUAGUUAAUUAACAUUAUAAUUGAAGUGUUUUGGUCUAGCAACUCUAGUUGAUACGUGGUCUAGUCUAUAGCAGAUUGUAUAUGUAGAUUGAAGUGUUCUAGCAAUUUAGCAACUUAGGCUAGCCUUUCUUUGAAUUUAUGGCCAGUAUGAAUAUGAUGUAUAAUGUUUUUUCGCU